UGGGGAAUAUUGCACAAUGGGCGCAAGCCUGAUGCAGCCAUGCCGCGUGUGUGAAGAAGGCCUUCGGGUUGUAAAGUACUUUCAGUCGGGAGGAAGGUGUCAAGGUUAAUAACCUUGGCAAUUCACGUUACCGACAGAAGAAGCACCGGCUAACUCCGUGCCAGCAGCCGCGGUAAUACGGAGGGUGCAAGCGUUAAUCGGAAUUACUGGGCGUAAAGCGCACGCAGGCGGUUGAUUGAGUCAGAUGUGAAAUCCCCGGGCUUAACCCGGGAAUUGCAUCUGAUACUGGUCAGCUAGAGUCUUGUAGAGGGGGGUAGAAUUCCAUGUGUAGCGGGGAAAUGCGUAGAGAUGUGGAGGAAUACCGGUGGCGAAGGCGGCCCCCUGGACGAAGACUGACGCUCAGGUGCGAAAGCGUGGGGAGCAAACAGG
rnacentral:rRNA from 1 species